AGAGUUUGAUCAUGGCUCAGGACGAACGCUGGCGGCGUGCUUAACACAUGCAAGUCGAGCGGUAAGGCUCCUUUCGGGAGUACACGAGCGGCGAACGGGUGAGUAACACGUGAGCAAUCUGCCCUUCACAUCGGGAUAACUCCGGGAAACCGGUGCUAAUACCGAAUACGACCACUUCAGGCAUCUGAUGGUGGUGGAAAGUUCCGGCGGUGAAGGAUGAGCUCGCGGCCUAUCAGCUUGUUGGUGGGGUAACGGCCCACCAAGGCAACGACGGGUAGCCGGCCUGAGAGGGUGACCGGCCACACUGGGACUGAGACACGGCCCAGACUCCUACGGGAGGCAGCAGUGGGGAAUAUUGGACAAUGGGCGAAAGCCUGAUCCAGCAACGCCGCGUGAGGGAUGACGGCCUUCGGGUUGUAAACCUCUUUCAGCAGGGACGAAGCGCAAGUGACGGUACCUGCAGAAGAAGCACCGGCCAACUACGUGCCAGCAGCCGCGGUAAUACGAAGGGUGCGAGCGUUGUCCGGAAUUAUUGGGCGUAAAGGGCUCGUAGGCGGUCUGUCACGUCGGGAGUGAAAACACGGGGCUUAACCCCGUGCCUGCUUCCGAUACGGGCUGACUAGAGGUAUGCAGGGGAGAACGGAAUUCCUGGUGUAGCGGUGAAAUGCGCAGAUAUCAGGAGGAACACCGGUGGCGAAGGCGGUUCUCUGGGCAUUACCUGACGCUGAGGAGCGAAAGUGUGGGGAGCGAACAGGAUUAGAUACCCUGGUAGUCCACACCGUAAACGUUGGGCGCUAGGUGUGGGACUCAUUCCACGAGUUCCGUGCCGCAGCUAACGCAUUAAGCGCCCCGCCUGGGGAGUACGGCCGCAAGGCUAAAACUCAAAUGAAUUGACGG
rnacentral:rRNA from 1 species